rnacentral:other from 1 species
CUCACCCUGCUGUGUUCGAGGUGUCUUAAUACAACUCUUCGCCUUUGAGAUUCUUCGGGAACCGAGAGGUGAUGGUGAAUGUCGGGCCGUAAAUCGGAAGGCAGGAGCCAUCGCUGGAGGUGCCCACCUUAAUAUAAAAAGGUCUGAGCCUUUUGGCAUACGGCACGAGUGGGGUGAAU